UUAUUAAGAAUCAAUUCAAAUACAUGAGAGUUCACAAGGUUACAUCAUCCCCCAACAAUAAUUAGGGUUUAGUUCCCCAUAGACAUUGAGGAACUAAAUGAAGAAUGAAGAAGAAUGAGAUAGAAAAACCCUAAAAAUUGGGAAUGGAAGCUCCCGCAUCCAAAUCCGCCUCCAGAAGGUGAGAGAAUGUGCAGUUGCACUCCUUCUGCCAAAAAUACAAAACCCAGAGCACUUGGGUCCUUUAAAUAAAGCGAAAAACAGAACAGAACGAAGUUCGGCCCAUGACGCUGGCACUCAAGCGCCCCAUUUAGGGCGCUCGGGCGGUUAGUGCGGCUCUUCCUGAUGCUCAAGCCUCCAAAAUGGUGCCCAAGCUUCGUGGACUCAAUGCUUAAGCGCCCCAAAGGGGCGCUCGGGCGGUGGAUGACAUUCUUCAGCGCUUAAGCCCCCUAAAAGGGCGCUUAAGCUUCGUGUUUCCCUCCCUUCUGGUGCUUUUCUAGGCCUUUCUAAGCUCCUUCUUCUUAACACUUCACCUCUGCUUUCCAUAUUAAUCUCAUUUCCUGCCAAAACAAGGGGAUUUAGUCAUUAUUUCAUCAAACUCAACCUCAACUCUCUUAUUCACACAACUUAAUAGAAAAUCAUGAUUUCAAGCAAGUUCUAAGUAGAAAAGGGUGCAUUUAGUCUCAAAAUUACAUCAUAGAUAACAAUAUUUUUAACCUUUAUCAAUCACCCAACAACAACAACAACAACAACAACAAUAACAACAACAACAACACUCACAACAAGAGGAUGCCCCUACAGAUGAUCCUAUCGCACAUCGUAUGAGCACCAAAGGCUCAUGCUUUACUGCAGAUCGUACUGAUUGCAAUAUUUAGUAUGAGUUUUUGGUUGAUGAGGAUCCUCCACGCGUAGUGGUCGUGGGACGACAGAUUGCACGAGGCCAAAUCAUUCAUGGUACUCCUUUAUUGCCCACUAACUCGCGAGUAAGGAUUAAUGAUGCGACACUUCAUCUGGAAUAUCAUGUCAAAGUCUAGGAGCAAGACUCGAUUGGUCUUCAUCGGCAGUAGGAAUAAUGUAUGGAUGGGAUAUCCUCCUAAACCACAGAAGGUUGUUGAGAUUGUUAACAACACAAUUUCUAUAUCAAUGUAGCUUUUGAUGAUGACAACACAUUGCUUAGUAACAAGCAUAAGUUGUUUGUUGUUAUUACAUGUUCUUAUGCAAAUUGAUUGUUAUAUCUGUGAACAUGAUUUUGUGUUGUGUUACAUGUUCCUAUGUUGAUUGAUUGAUAUAUAUGUGUGGAACGUGUUCAUACGCUUUAUAUGCUGUGUGCAAUGCAUCAUUACAAAGGUUUUACUGCACAUAUUUCAAAUCUGAAAACCACAAGCACUUUUAUGAACUUAUGUGACAAAGUUCUAUUGCAGUCAACUACAUUAUUAAGGAUUCGACUAUGCUAAAAUCUUUGUGUAGAUUUUGAGAAUCAGUGCUCUGUGAAUUUUUGAGAAGAAAAGAAUUUCAAAAUGUUUUCAUGGUUGAAGUCGACUAUGUGCGCCACACAUUCGAUUGUAUCUGUUAUCUGGUUUAAAAUUUUGUUACGCUCUUGCUCCCUAACAACUAUAUUUUUAAAAGUUAGUUGAGCAUUGAUGACUUGGUCAACUGUAUUAAAUGUGUUUUGUUUUUUGUUGACUGUACGCUACCUGGUUAACUAUUUAUUAUAACUGUCAUAAUUAAGUAAACUGGUAGCAUAAUCGACUGAGAGUCUGUAUGAAUAACAGAAAUCCACAAAUAGACUAAUCAUGAAUCAGUUAGAAGACUUUUGAUGAACUGACAAUUUUCAUUUCUGUUUCAGAUUUCUCUUAGCUCCAAGAAUUCUCCAAGAAGACGGUGGUGAUCUUUCUUGAACGAGAUUCAAAGGGGAGAUUUUCUACGUUUACAUUUGUUGAUCAUUAUCUGCACAAGAAGGUCUCUGUGUUUGAUCAUUCUGAGGCUUGGCAUCCUUGAAGAUUGCUGAAUUAUUUGUGCGGCUUGGCAUCCGUGAAGACUGUUGGAUUUGGACCUGUUGAUUGCAGGGGAUAGUGCACUUUGAGGAUUGUUCAAAGUGGUGUUUGACAGAUUACAGAAGAGGGGAUUCUUGCUGCAAGUCUUGCUGGUUUAUUGCAGCUAUAUUUUGGUUUUGGGUUAGAGAAGAGAUUUAUAUUUUUGACGUGGAGAUCUUCUAUAAAUUCCUUGUUGUAAAAACCGCAACCAUUAUAGUGCAUUUGCUUCUUGGGUGGAAGGAUACUGGAUGUAGACAUUGUUGGCCAAACCAGUAUAAAAACCUGUGAUUGAUUUUCUCUAUCCCUUCUCUUUUACAUUCCAAUCGACUCUAUAUUUCAAGCAGUCAACUAUGUUUUUCCGCUGCAUACAUAUUCUGAUUGCUUGCAUUUCAAGAAAGUUCAAAAAGUUUUAUACUUUGCAUUCAAGAUUGCGCAAAGAAGUUAUUUCUGAAAUAACAUCAAUUCAGCCCCCCUCUUGGUGUAAAAUCAAAACCAACUUGUUUCCCAACAAAGGUAACCAUCAACACAGUCAGAUGGGAAUCUGUUGAUGAACACACCCCUAAUAACAUGAUACUAAAAGGGCAAUCAGGCAUCAUUAAUGGCCACUAUGUCUGCAUCUGCAACAACGAGUGGGUCUCAAGGGAUGGACUACUGAAACCGAAACUACCUCAAAACAUGCUCACGCAAAUAUCGACAUAGCGUGUCACCAAUCCUAAUCCAUCCCAAGAAUAUACAAAUGUCGUAUAAAGGACGAGUCAUCUGAUGUGAUUCAUAAGGGGACCAGACGACUGAAUCGCAUGUCAGGGCAUCUAAGUGUACCCUAACCUCUACGAAGGUGGAACCCUGCCCACCGACCAACACGCGGUCUUUCUUCCUCAUACGGAGACACCAUACACUUCUUCCUAGUGUAGGGAAGUGCUCAUAUAUCCAACUUUACAAAGUAAAAAUUAUAAAAUUAUUCAUAAUCCACAUCGAAACAAUUCAAACAAAUCGAAGUGCAAACUAAAUGUGCACUUGAAAAAAAGUCAAAUAGCCUGCCAUUUGCUUGGUCGAAGCCAAGUUGACAUCUCCUAGCUGCUCAUACAUAUAUAUGCUAGUGCAUAAAUGCCCCAAGCAUAUCGGCCACAUGCGUGUACAACUUUGAAGAGAAAAAGCUAAGACACGCGAAUGGAUGUAGCAGUCUUGUCAGGAAAUAUAGCGAAUCCAACUAGAUGUAACAAAUAUGUUCAGGCAACAUACUCCAAUUGCUACUCCUUAUAGUGCUCAACGUAAAUGUCUUGAAGCCAACUCAAUCUGACUUUCACACCAUGAGCUGGAUGUAACUCAACAUCAUCUCUGUUGCCAUCCACGCCUAAAAGCUCGACAAUGGCAUGUCCACUUUCUUCAAGGUCCAUUUCUUCCAAAUUAAAAAGCUAUCCUAUGGGAGGUACAGCAAGGGUGACAUGUCAUCUAAAGUCACCGACAUCUCACCCACGAGGAGAUGGAAACUUUUGGUCUCGAAAUGAAAUCUCUCCACAAAUGCCAACAGUAAACCCCUAUCGACGUAGUCAUAUGAGAUGCCGACUAGAGACAUCAUACUGGAACCAUACACGAUGUCUUUAAUGCCCUCGACGUAGGAUCCUAGUUUGUUUGACUUCUCGACGUCUUCUGCGAGCAGAAGUAAUAAGUCUCCUCCUCGCACCUUGUGAGGAACUCUCUCCAUAAUGUGAAGAUACACCUCAAAUACGAGCCAUAUCUAUUCAAUUUUUUUUUUAUUAGCAAGAAUACACAAAAAAAUAACCAAAUCAAAUAAUUAUACAAUUAUAAAAAUACAAUUAUACUAUUACAAAAUCAUAAUAACUUCAAAUAAAAUAAAAUUCACUAAUAAAAAAAAUAAAGUCAUUAAAAAAUAUUUUUUUUUUAAUUCAAAUCAAAUUAACUAAUUCAUUAAUAUACUUAUGUCAUUAUAAAAUUAAUUAAUAUAUUAUUACAAACAAACAAAAAAACUAAAAUUCCUAAAAAAUUAUAAAAAUUUUAAAUAAUUAUUAAAUAAUUAUAAACAAAAAAAUUAUUUUAAAUUUAAUUUAAUUAAUUCAAAGUUUAAUAUAAUUAUAAUUUCAUUAUAUUUCAUUAAAAAAUUUAACAAAAUAUCUUCAAAUUAUAAAAUCUUCAAAAGCUAUUAAAAAAAAUCAAACAUUCAAUUCUAUAAAAUUAUAUAAAUUUUAAAUAAUUACAAACAAUUCAUUUUAAUUCAUAAAAGUUUCAUUCAUUAAAAUAUUUAAAUAAUUAUAAAUUAGUAAUAUUUCAUUAAAAAAAGUAACAAAAUAUCUUAAAAUUAUAAAAAUUAAAAAAACUAUAAAAUAAAUUAAACAUUAAAUAAUUGAAAACAAUAAAGUUUAAUCAAUUUAAUUAAUUCAUUAAUAUAUUAUUACAAAUUAAAAACAAUAAAUAUUAUAAAAUUCAAAAAAUUUAUAAUUAAUAUUAAAUAUUUACAAACUAAAUUUUUUUUAAUUCAAAUUAAAUAUAAUUAAUGCAAAUAUGAAUAUAUAAUAAAGUAUUAAAAAACAAUUAAAUUCUAUUAAAAAUAAACAAACUAUAAAAGAAAACAAAACAUAAAAUAAAAAUGCUAAAAUAAAAUUAAAAACGAAAAAAAAAGACUUCUCCCUGCACCUCAGUGCCUUCAUCCUGCACCUCCUUGUUAUUUUUACAUUUCCAAAUUAAAAAAGUUGAUUUCUAGUCAACAUGCAUUGAUAACGUGAACACUCCAACCCUUUCUCCACUCACUCUUCGCAUUUCACAUUUCAUUUUUUAAAAACCUACACCCCGUACUUCCUUCCUUCCCUCUGUGUCGCAUCACUCCUCACCCUGUAUACCCCACUUUUGUUUCUCCUCUUUUCCUCCUCUCCUCUUUGUUUUUUCUUUUGGUGUUGCUCUGUAGUGUUGCUGUUUGGCUGCAUUGUGUCGAGGUUCUUGAAGCUGCCUCCAGAUUAGAUAUUAUUUGCUUUUUUUAGUCUACUCAUAUUGUUUUGUUAUAUGUUGUCACUAGUGUGUGGGAUUGAUGUUUUGUUAUAUGUUGUUAUUGCUGUUUGGGAUCGAUUUAGGGUUGGGGUUGGGAUCGAUUUAGGGUUGGGGUUGGGAUCGAUUUGGGGUUGGUUGGGAUCGAUUUGGGGUUGGAGUUGGUUGAUCUGGGUUCAAAUCUGGGAUAGAGGAACUGCACUUGGUCUUGCAGUUGAGGGACGCCACACUUGAGAGGUGUGGUUGUUGCUGUUUGCAGAACGGCACUUGGUCAAACAAUUGAGUUGAGCCGCACUUAGGAGGUGCGGCUGUUGUUUGCCGAAUUUGUGAGGUGCGACAGAGAAGGGGGAGGUACGCUGGUGCUCGCCGCACUUGACGAAAUGUGUUGUUGAGUUGCGGUUGGCUGUGAGGUGCAGUAAAGAGUUUUUAGGGUUUUCUUUUAUUGUUUUUAUUUAUGAAAAGUUAUAUUAUUAUAUUAAAGUAAUUUUUUUAAUAUUUUAUAAUUUUUUUUGUUUUCGUAGUAUGUUUUGUUUAUUAUUAUUUGUUUGUUAUUUUUUUUAAUUUCUUUUUUUAUAAUUUUAAAUUUUGUAUAUAUUAUGUAUUAUGUAUAUUUUUUCUGUUUACUUUGAUUUUAUUUGUUUUUGAAUUUGUUGUUAAUAUACAAUUUUUAUGAAAUUAUUAUUUUGAUUAUUUAAUAAGUAUUUUGCCUAAUUUUUUUUUUUAACUUUCUUAAUUUAUUUUAAUAUGUUUAUUGUUUUUGUUAUAAUUUAUAAUUAUUUAAGUAUUAUUUAUUAAGUAUUUUUUGUUGUUAAUUUUUAAUCCUUUAUUAAUUAUUUAUUAUUGUUUUAUGUCCUCUCACUUCAAACCAAUCUUACAGUAAAAUGAAGAAAAUGGUAGUGAAGUGAACUGAGGGAGCGAGGAAUGCAUGUUAGGAUCUAUAAUCGAACAAAAAUAUUAGAUUGUUGGUAGUUAGGAAUAUUUGUUAGUGGUUAAAUAUGAUUAAGUAAUUAUUAAUUAAGUUUUAAAUUUAUUAAAUGAAGGGUAAAGUGAAGGGUGCAUGUUAAGAUUUAUAAAUAAAAAUAUUGGGUUGUUGAUAGUUAGGAAUAUUUGUUAAUGGUUAAAUAUCAUUAACUAAACUUUAUUAAAUGAAGGAUAGAAUGAUAAAAUUGGAAAUACGAAAAGAAGGAGGGGAAGAAGGAGGGCAGGUGCAGGAGCAUCACUAAAAAAAUGUGUGGACUCUCUAAACACGAUAGGACGUCGAAAAUCAAGACAGCCUACAUCAGAUGUCGAUGUUUGAUGAAGCCUGUAUCAGUUUUCAACAUUCAAUGCCUAUCGCGUUUCAGAUUCGGUGCAGAGCAAACCACCCAUAGAUCAAGCACUCAUAUUAAAGAUCAAGUUAUUCAUACAUAUUCUAAUCAUCCAAUCUACAAACAUGCUACAAACAAGCAAAAUAAAUUUAAAAAACCAUGAAGCAACCUUUGAGCAACGAAGAAUGGAGGAAAAAUUGAAGAAGAAGACGAAGAACUCUUGUGUGUCUGGAUGUGCCUCUAUGACUGGGAAAGAGACCAAAGGCAAGAACAAACUGAAAUGGAAAAAUAAGAAGCUGUUAGUGUGCCCGAAAAAAGAAAUCCGAGAAGAAGAGGAAGCUGUUGAGGAAGUUGUUUCUACCUGACUCUGCUUCAAAUAAAAAAAUAAGCUUUUGUGCAUGGUGCCUGUGCUGCAAAAACAAGGAGAAAGGAAAUCCAAGAGCAAAGCUUAUGUGUGUGCUGUGAAGCGUGUGUGCUGUGAAGCUUGUGUGCGUGUUGUGCUGUGUGAGAAAGAAGAGCAAAUGAAAGCUUGUGUGCAUGUUGUGAUGUGUGAGAAAGGAGAGCAAAAGGAAAUGUGAGUGUUGUGCUGCCAAUGCGAUGCCAAUGCCUAAAAUCUGAAUCUGACAGUUGAAGAAUCUUUG
rnacentral:lncRNA from 1 species